rnacentral:rRNA from 1 species
AGUGAACGCUGGCGGCAGGCCUAAUACAUGCAAGUCGAACGGCAGCACAGUGGAGCUUGCUCCAUGGGUGGCGAGUGGCGGACGGGUGAGGAAUACAUGGGAAACCGCCCAGUCGUGAGGGAUAAUGUAGGGAAACUUACGCUAAUACCGCAUGCGCCUUUCGGGGGAAAGCCGGGGACCUUUGGGCCUGGCGCGCGUGGAUGAGGCCAUGUUCGAUUAGCUAGUUGGCGGGGUAAAGGCUCAACAAGGCGACAAUCGGUAGCUGGUCUGUGAGGAUGAGCAGCCAAACUGGGACUGAGACACGGCCCAGACUCCUACGGGAGGCAGCAGUAGGGAAUAUUGGACAAUGGGCGCAAGCCUGAUCCAGCCAUGCCGCGUGAGUGAAGAAGGCCCUCGGGUUGUAAAGCUCUUUUGUCCGGAAAGAAAAGCGUUGGGUUAAUACCCCGGCGUCCUGACGGUACCGGAAGAAUAAGCACCGGCUAACUUCGUGCCAGCAGCCGCCGUAAGAC